rnacentral:rRNA from 1 species
UAGCCAGACUCCUACGGGAGGCAGCAGUGGGGAAUAUUGCACAAUGGGCGAAAGCCUGAUGCAGCAACGCCGCGUGAAGGAAGAAGGGUUUCGGCUCGUAAACUUCUAUCAACAGGGACGAAAGAAAUGACGGUACCUGAAUAAGAAGCACCGGCUAAAUACGUGCCAGCAGCCGCGGUAAUACGUAUGGUGCGAGCGUUGUCCGGAUUUACUGGGCGUGAAGGGGGCACAGGCGGCGCGCCAAGCCCGAUGUGAAAGCCCGGGGCUCAACCCCGGGACUGCAUUGGGAACUGGCGUGCUGGAGUGCCGGAGGGGCAGGCGGAAUUCCUGGUGUAGCGGUGAAAUGCGUAGAUAUCAGGAGGAACACCGGUGGCGAAGGCGGCCUGCUGGGCUUUUACUGACGCUGAGGCUCGAAAGUGUGGGGAGCAAACAGGAUUAGAUACCCCUGUAUA